rnacentral:lncRNA from 1 species
GUAAACUAUCUAACAGUAUCUGGAAGAACAUUGACAAAAAUGUAGUCAUGUUACGUAAUAGAGGACGAAAUCAAAAUAGAAAAAAGUGAAAAAAUUAAAGAUGACUAAUUAGCAGAUAUAUACAAAGGAGAUAUUUUGAAGGGGGUCGAGAAAAGGUAAGGAGAGAUGUUUGGAUAUUCUUCUUAGUCUGCUACCCUAAUCAUGUAUUUCUUUGACUAAUUUUGUGAAAGAUUUUCUGCAAUUCAUCAACUCACAAAAUAUUUGUCGAUUAAAGGACUCUUUAAAUUUAUUAAAGUGGUUCUAGUGUCAAAAUAAGCUAUUAAUUCUCCAAAGUAUAGUGUGACCAAGCUAAAGCCUAAGGGCAGGUUCAAUCCCACGUUGUGAAACUUGUCAAUUCCUACCUUUGAAAAUCUGAAGAGCAGCUCGAUGAAAUAUAGUCCUAGUACCAUCUCUGUAUAUGACAUUGGGACUCGACAUCUUGAAUUCAAUAACGCUGAUACUCCUAAAACAUAAUACAAUAACAACUACAUUGAGAAUGGUAAUGUGUAGAAAUUCAAUUAUAUAUAUUGCUUAUAGCAGAUUUAGAGCUGAUGAUACAAUGAGAAUGAAGGUUGAAGAACAUAGCCGUGUAGAAAAGAAGUAGAAGAAGAGAGAAGAGAGAAACAUAGAAGUACUGAUUUUUUAUUCUUCAUUGCGUUUCAAUCUAUGAAUAGAUACACGUUUAUAUAGAGUGCAUUUAUGUGAUAUUGCAGUUCUAGAAC